rnacentral:tRNA from 1 species
GCCCCGGUAGCUCAGCCGGCAGAGCAACCGCCUUGUAAGCGGUGGGUCGUGGGUUCGAUUCCCACCCGGGGCU